ACUUGGAAAACUGGAGCUAAUACGUGCUUUCAAGGGCGACUCACGAAGCCUGGCAUUUAUUAGAUUAAACCAACUGGCCUAGCCAUGUGGUGAUUCAUAAUAACUCAGCGGACCGGCGCAAGCCGGCAGACCGAACAAAUUUCUGCCCUAUCACCUUUCGUAUGUAGGGUAGUGGCCUACAUAGGGAGUGACGGGUACGGAGGUCUAGGGAUCGACGCCGUAGAGACAGCCUUAGAAACAGCUGUCACAUCCAAGGAUAGCAGCAGGGGCGAAACGUGACCAAUCGGCAAUGCCGGAGUCCGUGAACGUCAAUAACGGGAUCGCACUACGUGUGAUCUCCGAAAUGGGAACAAUGUACAACACUUUCGAGGAACAAUGGGAGGGCAAGUCUGGUGCCAGCAGCCGCGGUAAUUCCAGCUCCUAUAGUGUAUGUUAACGUUGCUGCGCUUAAAAAGUCCGUAGCUGGAUUUCUUGUGACGGAGCCUCUGACGCGGGUGGACCGCAUGGUUCUCCUGAUCGUCUUGAUCCGUCACAAUCUUGUGCGAGAAAUCGCACCGAUUACCGUGAAGAAAUCGUAGUGCUCAAAGCAGGCGUUUGCAGCUGUACGUUCAAGCAUGGAAUAAUGAAAUAUGACUCGUGUCGUAUUUUGUUGGUUCAACGAAACGAGUAAUGAUUAAUAGGGGCAGUUGGGGGCAUCUCUACUACUGCGGGACUGGUGAAAUGGGUUGAUCGCAGUAAGAGAAACUGAAGCGAAAGCGUUUGCCAAGGAUGCUUUCAUUAGUCAAGGACGAAAGCUAGAGGAUGGAAGGCGAUUAGACACCGCUGUACUUCUAGCCAUAAACUAUACCGCCUAGGGAUUGGGGGUAGGUAUAACACUCCUUCAGCACCUUUUGAGAAAUCAAGGCUUCGGGUUGCGGGGGGAGUAUGGUCGCAAGGCUGAAACUUAAAGGAAUUGACGGAAGGGCACCACCAUUAGUGGAACCUGCGAUUCAAUUUGACCCAACACGUAAACCUUACCAGGGCCAGACACUGUUAGGAUUGACAAGCUGAAAGACUUUUCUCGAUUCAGUGGACGGUGGUGCAUGGCCGUAUUUAGUUCGUGGAGUGAUUUGUCUGGUUGAUUCCGAUAACGAACGAGACCCCCACCUGCUAACUAGGUUUUCCAUUCUCGAAUGGGAUGCCUUCUUAGAGGGACAACUGGUGUAAGCCAGGGGAAGUGGGGGGCAACUACAGGUCAGUGAUGCCCUCAGAUGUCCUGGGCCACAGGCGUGUUAUAAUGGCAUGGUCAUCAAGCACUUGCUCGUCCGAUAGGACCGGCUAAUCUUGUGAAACCAUGUCGCAGUGGGGAUUGGGGCUUGCAAUUGUUCCCCAUGAACGAAGAAUUAAUAGUAGGCGCGAGGUAUCAACUUGCACCGACUACGUCCCUGCCCUUUGUACACACCGCCCGUCGCUCCUACCGAUUGGAUGUUCCGGCGAGUUGUUUGGAGUGCGGCCUAUGCUUCGGCAUGGCUGUCACGAAGAUCCGCGAGUCACAGCAUCUAGAGGAAGGAGAAGUCGUAACAAGGUA
rnacentral:rRNA from 1 species